rnacentral:rRNA from 1 species
UACAGAGGUCUCAAGCGUUGUUCGGAUUCAUUGGGCGUAAAGGGUGCGUAGGUGGCAUGGUAAGUCGGGUGUGAAAUCCCGGGGCUCAACCCCGGAACUGCACUCGAUACUGCCGUGCUCGAGUACUGGAGAGGAGACUGGAAUUUACGGUGUAGCAGUGAAAUGCGUAGAUAUCGUAAGGAAGACCAGUGGCGAAGGCGGGUCUCUGGACAGUUCCUGACGCUGAGGCACGAAGGUCAGGGGAGCAAACGGG